ACGACUAUGUGUAACUGGCGAGGUGCGGAUCGAACCGCAAGGGAGCACAUAGUGUCGAUAGCCGCUCGCCUGGGCAAAGGUA
rnacentral:ncRNA from 2 species